rfam:Cavia porcellus supercont2_9 genomic scaffold, whole genome shotgun sequence.
AUCCCAGCCCCUGCAGUGAUGACUGGGUUUUCAUGCUCCGUGCAUGAUAUGUGCCUCCUUUGAACCUUGUUAUGACAUCGGCACAUUACCCAUCUGACA